AAUAGGAGAAUGACAAAUCAGAUUUUUCAUCCUAAUUUUUAGCUUUUUUUCCUGAAAAAAUUCAAAUCCAAAUAAAAAUACUGAAUAUUAGGAGGAAAAUUAUGAUUUGUCAUUCUCCUAUU
rfam:Gossypium arboreum cultivar AKA8401 contig_5171_3, whole genome shotgun sequence.